rnacentral:rRNA from 1 species
UACGUAGGGUGCGAGCGUUGUCCGGAAUUAUUGGGCGUAAAGGGCUCGUAGGCGGUUUGUCGCGUCGGGAGUGAAAACCUCGGGCUUAACUCGGGGCUUGCUUUCGAUACGGGCAGACUAGAGGUAUGCAGGGGAGAACGGAAUUCCUGGUGUAGCGGUGAAAUGCGCAGAUAUCAGGAGGAACACCAGUGGCGAAGGCGGCUUCUGGUCCAUAACUGACGCUGAGGUGCGAAAGCGUGGGGAGCAAACAGG